UACGUAGGCGGAAAAUUAAGUCAGUAGUGAAAUCGUGCAGCUUAACUGUAGAACUGUUAUUGAUACUGGUUUUCUUGAAUAUAGUUGAGGUAGGCGGAAUGUGUAAUGUAGCGGUGAAAUGCUUAGAUAUUACACAGAACACCGAUUGCGAAGGCAGCUUACUAAGCUAUGAUUGACGCUGAGGUACGAAAGCGUGGGGAGCGAACAGGAUUAGAUACCCUGGUAGUCC
rnacentral:rRNA from 1 species